AGUAAAGGGGGCAGGAACUAAAAGGAAUGUCUCUAAGAUGAGUCAGCCCCCUUUAUGAAAUUUUCCUCUAAGUUCUACCAAAGAUACCUCCUUGCCUAUCCUUAGCUGGUAAAUAUAGUUCCUUAGCAUCCUAAAACCACUAAUGCCCUUGGUAAGGUAGAAGGAGAGAGGAGCUGUUUGGUAGGCAUUCGACAUCUCUGCCAUCUGAGCUACUCAAGAUGUGGUAGGCAGCCCAUGUCUGUCUGUGAGCAGAUAAGUACAGCAGUAGUCUGAGAAGCCCUAUGUGCCACAAGUCCUCUGUCUGCCCCCGGCCACUGCCAGCAUCACGAGGCCAGCAAACAGACUCUGGAAAAAGAAGAACUCUCCUGUGGCUGCUGUCCAUACCACCUUGUGGUUGCAGAAGCAAAGCAGGGCUAGACCUGAUCUCUGGGUGCUCCAGAGGCCACCCCAGGGGACCGGGGUGCUUUGAAAUGGUGGGGCCUGUGACUCAUGUCCUGGCAUCCCCUCUUCUGAAACACCUGCCACCAUGAGAAGAUGAUGGGGCUGCAGGUCUCCUGGGGAAGGUAAAAAGCUGGGUCACGAAGUCUGUGUUUCUACCUGUAAUAUCCAUUUUCUUCCACCAAGAAGAAAAAUAAAAUAACCCAAGAACUACCAGCUCCUGAGAACCUAAUAAGUGCGUAAGGAGGUUAACUGUUAUCAUCAUCAUUAAGGUACUGCUAGGUACUGUCUCAGUGAUUUGCAUGUUCUCUUCUAAUUCUUAUACCAGCCAAGCAGGAAAGGCAGCAUUAUCUCCAUUUUAGUGAUUAGGCUCAGAGACGCUAUGUAAUUUGCCCAAGGUAACAGAGCCAAGAAGUGCUAGAGGCAGUCUGUCACCUAUGCCUAAACUCUUCAGAGGAAAAUCCGCAGCCUCCUAAUCCUUUUUCUCUGCCUAAUUUCUUCUCUGUCUCAAUGGGCUUCAUGGGGACUGAAGACAAGCAGCACUAAAUCCCCUGGGAGAAGUGCCUCCUUGUUUCUCCUUCCUGUCAGCCUGUGCCCUCACCUCCUGG
rnacentral:lncRNA from 9 species